UUGGUAAACAUCUUCAUCAUCACUGCCCAGAAAGUAUGGGAGAAGUCAGAAUUGAGCAUGCUACAGACUGAUAGAUUAGAUAAAAAUAGAAUUUAUAUCAGAGAAACAAUGGAAAUAAAAACAGAUAGGAAUCUGGUAAUGCAAGCCCCUUUUUCACCCGCCCAAUUCACUUUUAUACUUGCUCAAACUCAUUAUACCCGCAUAAGUUGUUGACAAUGUUUAGAUUCAGGAAAGAAGUAUUGGAAGUAAAGCAGCUGCUCAACUGCUGGAAAAAUUGAGACCUCCUUAUUGGUUUUCUGCUCACUUGCACUACAAAUUUGCUACAGCAGAUGGGAAUCUGGCAAUCAUAAUCUGCCAAUCAACUGAAAAAGAUAGCUACAACUAAUUUCCGGACCUCCACAACGCUGUGAUCAAUGCAUAUUCCAAGUUAAUAAAUUGGGUAGCUAACACACAAAACAAGAACGAAUUAAAAAACAAUCUGUACCCAGCCGCAUAAGGCAAUGCUGAGUAUAUUAUCUACUUAUUUAAAUUAUCCUAAACAGCCAUGUUGAUAAAAUUCAAUGCAAAUAUAGAAAAUGAAACCGACCAGACCUCAGCUAGGUCACAGCAUUACAGUAACCAAAGAAACAGAAGAGCCAUGUACUGGAUAUUUUCUAACAACCAAACAUAGCUUGAUAGGAUUAAUGCUAGCAUGAAUUCAUUUACCUAAUUAUUCCAAAAUUUUCUCCAGCAGGAAGCUGAAUGGAGUUGAGAUCGAUAAGGGAGCAAUCGAUACCAGCCGCGGCACCUCGAGCCUCUAUAUCAUUCAUUAUCAUCACGUCCGCCAUGAUUUCCUUCCUUUGCUUUUAGGAUCCUCUCUCUAGACCUUAGAGAGAGAAACAGAACAGUAGCCGACUGAAGAUAGAAGGAUGCGGAUUCGAGUACUGGAGGAAGACAGAGAAACCAGAGUGGCGUUUUUAGGGUUUUUGGCCAAGUUCUGAGAUUAGG
rnacentral:misc_RNA from 1 species